rnacentral:tRNA from 1 species
GGGUGAUUAGCUCAGCGGUAGAGCGCUUCGUUCACAUCGAAGAUGUCAGGGGUUCAAAUCCCUUAUCACCCA